AUUGAACGCUGGCGGCAGGCCUAACACAUGCAAGUCGAGCGGAUGAAGGGAGCUUGCUCCUGGAUUCAGCGGCGGACGGGUGAGUAAUGCCUAGGAAUCUGCCUGGUAGUGGGGGAUAACGUCCGGAAACGGGCGCUAAUACCGCAUACGUCCUGAGGGAGAAAGUGGGGGAUCUUCGGACCUCACGCUAUGAGAUGAGCCUAGGUCGGAUUAGCUAGUUGGUGGGGUAAAGGCCUACCAAGGCGACGAUCCGUAACUGGUCUGAGAGGAUGAUCAGUCACACUGGAACUGAGACACGGUCCAGACUCCUACGGGAGGCAGCAGUGUGGAAUAUUGGACAAUGGGCGAAAGCCUGAUCCAGCCAUGCCGCGUGUGUGAAGAAGGUCUUCGGAUUGUAAAGCACUUUAAGUUGGGAGGAAGGGCAGUAAGUUAAUACCUUGCUGUUUUGACGUUACCAACAGAAUAAGCACCGGCUAACUUCGUG
rnacentral:rRNA from 1 species